CUUCUAGUAGCACCUUAGAGACCAACUAAGUUUGUUAUUGGUAUGAGCUUUCGUGUGCAUGCACACUUCAGAUACCAAUAACAAACUUAGUUGGUCUCUAAGGUGCUACGGGACG